ACAUUUCCUUUAGAUUAAGUUAAAGGUAAAACCUGCCCACUGCUUAGGUGAAGGGCCGCGGUAUUUUGACCGUGCAAAGGGAGCAUAAUCAUUAGUCUCUUAAUUAGGGAAUGGAAUGAAUGGUUAGAUGAUUUAUUGUUAUAAAAUAUGUUUAUAUAAAAUUUAAGUUAAAAGUGAAAACGCUUUAUUUUAGUUAAAAGACGAUAAGACCCUAUAGAAUUUUAUUUAGCUUUUUAUUAAAAUUAAUUUACUAAAUUUAAUUGGGGCUUUUAUUGAAUAAUUUAAAUUUCUUUGAAAUUUGUAUAAAUUGUCUAAAGUGUUAAGAGAUUAAAAAAUUACCUUAUUGAUAACAGCGUAAUAUAGAUUGAGAGUUCUUAUCGACAUUUAAUUUUGCGACCUCGAUGUUGAAUUAAAAUUUCUUGUUAGAGCAGUAUUUAAUAGGGAAAGUCUGUUCGACUAUUAAAGUUUUUACAUGAUUUGAGU
rnacentral:rRNA from 1 species